rnacentral:rRNA from 1 species
CCUCCGUGUUUCCGCCGUCUGUACUUUUGCACAAUUGUCGAAAUCCUUCCGCAGCAACGCCGCGUGCUUGAUUAAGCCCUUCGGGGUGUAAAGAUCUGUCAGUGGGGACGAAACUUGACGGUACCCACAGAUGACGCACCGGCUAACUCCGUGCCAGCAGCCGCGGUAAUACUGAGGGUGCAAGCGUUGUCCGGAAUCAUUGGGCGUAAAGAGUUCGUAGGUGGCAUAUUAAGUCUGGUGUUAAAUGCAGAAGCUCAACUUCUGUUCGGCACUGGAUACUGGUAAGCUUGAAUGCGGUAGAGGUAAAGGGAAUUCCUGGUGUAGCGGUGAAAUGCGUAGAUAUCAGGAGGAACAUCGGUGGCGUAGGCGCUUUACUGGGCCGUAAUUGACACUGAGGAACGAAAGCCGGGGUAGCAAAUGGGAUUAGAUACCCGAGUAGUC